rnacentral:lncRNA from 1 species
CCUAGCCACCACUCAAACCUCUAUAUAGACUCUCGCUUUUCUCUCUCUACCUAUUGUCAUUCAGAAUCUCCUUUGUUCUACCAAGGAAGACUGAUAGGUAACAGAGGAUCCUUCUUUGGUAAACCCCCGACAAGAGAAUUUCCUCAGAUUGUGAUAUUUUAGGGUACUCUUAGAGGAAAGAUCGAAGACCUGGCCAUCGAUAGUUCCACC